rnacentral:snoRNA from 1 species
AGCCUCUUUCUAGAUGAAAAUGGGCACUAUCGAUUGUGGUGUCUGAAAAUUGUCAGCGGCUAAAUUGAAACACAGGUUAUGUACCCAGUAAUGGGA